rnacentral:rRNA from 1 species
CCUACGGGAGGCAGCAGUGAGGAAUAUUGGUCAAUGGACGAGAGUCUGAACCAGCCAAGUAGCGUGAAGGAUGACUGCCCUAUGGGUUGUAAACUUCUUUUAUAUGGGAAUAAAACGUUCCACGUGUGGGAUUUUGUAUGUACCAUAUGAAUAAGGAUCGGCUAACUCCGGGCCAGCAGCCGCGGUAAUAAGGAGGAUCCGAGCGUUAUCCGGAUUUAUUGGGUUUAAAGGGAGCGUAGGUGGAUUGGUAAGUCUGUUGUGAAAGUUUGCGGCUCAACCGUAAAAUUGCAGUUGAAACUGGCAGUCUUGAGUACAGUAGAGGUGGGCGGAAUUCGUGGUGUAGCGGUGAAAUGCUUAGAUAUCACGAAGAACUCCGAUUGCGAAGGCAGUUCACUGGACUGCAACUGACACUGAGGCUCGAAAGUGUGGGUAUCAAACAGGAUUAGAUACCCUUGUAGUC